rnacentral:lncRNA from 1 species
UAUAGAAAACAUAAAGGAACUUUAAUAUCCAAACAUUCAGGGUAAAGAAUACUGGAUUAAUCACCCAUUAAGUGUAAAUCACUUCAGGUUCUUUACAGUACCAGAAAGUAAAAUCUAAAUUUUGCAUAUUGCAGAGAAUGAAACCAUUUUAAAAACUUUAAUUUCCUUACCUGAUACUAAUACCAGUAUGAUUUUUAGACGGAAAAACUAAGAGUAAGAUUUAAACCAAAGAUAGAGGUGUUCCUGAAAUGUGAAUUUGUUCAGUAGUAACCUUUUCAUCAUGAGUACUGAUACCACUUUCUUCUCAGAAAGUAGUCAAUGUACAUUUUAAGAUUUGUGCAAUAAGCCAAUAUGCUGGAUAAUAAAAACUGUUAUUACUGGAGAUAGUCAAAAUGAAAGAAAACUAUUUAAAUUAUUUAUGCCCAAAUAAUUUACCCUGCAGUCCAUGAGAUGCACAGGAAAUAAUUUUUUUUAAUAAGAGAACAAUGAGGGUCCUAAAGUAGAAACAUAAGCCAGAAGAAAUCUAAAAAUAGCUUCCUGAUAUUUUAUUUUAAAAUAUUUCAUUUAAGCUGCUUUUGGUUGCAUGCCCUGAUCUGUAGAAGUUAACAAGGAAAUAAAAUUUCCAAGUAUUUAAAAAAUUUACUCAUCUUCCAUAAAGCGACUUUUAAUGUAUCAACACUUAAAAAUACAC